rnacentral:rRNA from 1 species
UAGGGAAUCUUCCGCAAUGGACGAAAGUCUGACGGAGCAACGCCGCGUGAGUGAAGAAGGAUUUCGGUUCGUAAAACUCUGUUGUUAGGGAAGAAAAAAUGUAUAGUAACUAUAUACAAAAGAGACGGUACCUAACCAGAAAGCCACGGCUAACUACGUGCCAGCAGCCGCGGUAAUACGUAGGUGGCAAGCGUUGUCCGGAAUUAUUGGGCGUAAAGCGCGCGCAGGUGGUUUAGAAAGUCUGAUGUGAAAGCCCACGGCUCAACCGUGGAGGGUCAUUGGAAACUAAUAAACUUGAGUGCAGGAGAGAAAAGUGGAAUUCCUAGUGUAGCGGUGAAAUGCGUAGAGAUUAGGAGGAACACCGGUGGCGAAGGCGACUUUCUGGCCAUAUACUGACGCUGAGGUACGAAAGCGUGGGUAGCAAACGGG